AAGCUAGAAGGUAUAUAUUUGGUCCUCCAAUUGCACUAACUUUUGGUGCCAAAUUUGUUCCGCUUCGCAACCUGUGAAAAUUGCCAGGGUAAUUGGAAGCUCAAUGGGGUACCACUUUAUGUUCUUGUGGAGCCUCGCCUAGAUGAUCUGGAUCAUACGUUAUGAGAUGAUGCAGAACAUGACGGUAGAGCAACACUUGGAUGGCGAAGGGGAAAUUCGUCUUUU